AUUUAUUCGUUUCAUUUCGUUUGUAACAACAGGUAGAAUAAUAAGCAAAUCUUAAGAUACACAAUACUGACUAGAGCUGCCAAGUGACUGGAAAGAUAAAGUGCCUCUUAUUUUAUCUCUCUUACACCUACAUCUGUCGUUUCAGUUGAGAGAAAUGAAAGGGAGUCUGCCCUUAUUUUCUUGCGUAUUUGUGACAGCAUGUAUGACUUGCCAGCAUUUGGGAGGGAAGGAGAUGGUACUUCUCAGACCCAGUAAUGCUCAGCUGAACAAAAAAAAAAGAAAGGUCAAAUGCAAGAGCUAAAGGCACAGGGGAACAUUGCUCUCUUUAACUAGAAAAUGAAGAACAGUACUGUCCUUAAGACCAGGAGAAAGGUACAGGCCACAGAAGUCUUGUGAAGCUGUAGGUUAAUAGGGUGAUCUUUGGCUACCCAUUGGUUUAUUUUGCAUCGCUGCAGAAUGCUGGAUUUUAAAUUGCUAGAGCAAGUGCAACUGUAUAGUUGUCUCUAGUAUAUGUGCAUUUAAUGAAGCAGUGGUUGUAAAUGCUUCUGGAUCUGUAGAUCCUGCUGCCCAAGGUGGUGUGAAUUAAAUGACCUGACAGUAGGGUUAUUUCUCCAGUUACCCUUUUCAACUCUUUGUGGUAAUUAACAGCCCACAAGGACUGGAAGCCACAGAUUGAAAAUCCCUGCAUGGCACUAUUUUUUUUCCCCUUAACUGAGUUAUAAAGAGUGGCCUUGUGAUUUCCUGGACUUAUUACCGGUUCUGGCUAGAAUAAACCAGUAAAAAUAAACUGGAUAAAUGGGGUAAAAAUGCUUUCUAUAUAUUUGACCCUAUGCCUGUAAUCAUAUCACUGUAUCAACUAGUGCUGCGCAGAACAAAUAUGUGGAAAUAAUUUGCAAGAAAGAUUGACACUAAAAGGUUACAUUUUUCUUGAGACUGUGCUGUUUGCAUAAUAAUUUCAUAUAGUGAUCUUAUUUGCCUAGCAGCUGAUAACAUUUCUUGAUGGCAUCCAGCUGUAGCUAGGGUUGGUAUAAUUGGCAGCUUCUUUCUGAAGACAUUUGUUCUGGGGAACUCUGGUAAGAGCUGUGGGCUGACUGCUCAAAGACCUUGCAACAGCUGGAGUAGCUGAUUCUGCAGAAGAGGUUGGCCUGCACAGGAUGUUAAUGAGCUAUUAAUUACUGUCUGGGUAGCUGUUACCUUCAGUCACAUGAGUGAAGUUUAUAUAUGUCAGAUAUGUCUGGAUAUAAACGGUGUUGGACUUGACAUUCUCAGUUUCUUCUAUGAAUUCCACAUCUAAGGGGCUACACAGCAGGUAACUCAUAACUGAUCUGAGAUAUGAUAGAGCCAGCCUGCUUUUUUAAAGCACCUCAUUUAAUCUUUCAUUUCUAUGACUUUUAAUAAAAGCCCAGAAGGUAAGAAGGAGAUGGACUAAAAUAAUCUGUUAAUUAAAAACAAGCAAACAAAGAAUAACCCCCCAAAAAAAUGAAAAGAAAGCACCAACUUUAGACUAUACAUUCUAUACAUAGAAUUGGCCAGGGCUUUUUCGUUACAGUAAGUCUGAAAUGUGGAAGUAUCUUAGGUGAAUCUGUUGGCAUAGCAACUUAGAUUGAGCAGAAGAGUGCCAUCAUAGUCAGAAAAUAGUGUAUGUUGUGAUACUGUUGCAUGCUACUGCCACUUCUCUGCAGACAGGGCCCUCUGGGGUUCACAUUAAACUCAUAAUGAUUCAGUUCAAGCUUCUAAGAACAUUUGGCCCCGGCAGCACAUACACUGUAGCUUGAUGUAGAUCUACCAAUGAUGUUACAACUGUCACUCCCAUAACAGCAGGAUGGCACCUAACCCUGUAGUUACCACGCUGAGAAGGGGCAGAAGGUCCAUUUUACCUCCAACAGAGUCAUAUGGUUUUUGCCUUCAUCAUCAACUGAUAGUUUAUUUGUUGCUUCUCUCAGGGUGGUUUGAAGGCUACAGAAGUUACUGGAUGGAAUACUAGGCUGUGCCUUGCUAUGUGGGAUAAAGGGAGUAGGAGUGUCUGUUCUCUGGGGGAGGAAAACAAAGGCAUUACAGGUAGUGUAUGAAGCAUUUAUAUAUGGCAGCAUUGAGGAAAAACAGAAUAUCAAAGCCUUAGACUUUGUCAAUGAUAAUAACAGCAGAUGUUAUGAAUUAUAUAUUUUUAAUUGAAUAUUUUGCGCAUCAACAUUGAUGGAAAAUCUGUCAUUACUUUUAAGCCUUGUCUCUGAUGGAGAUCUGUUUGUAUCUAUCUACGUACCCAUACCUGAGCAGUGCAACUCACUGCAGGUCAAAAAAUUACAACCUCCAAUGAUUGCAGUGGGAGAACUUAAUGGUUCUUCAUUUGUGUGUAUCUUCUACAGAGAAAUUCAGUGAGUGUUAGAGCACUGUGGAAACAAUCUUUGUGAUAGUUUGAGUUCUUCAGCACUGUAAUGGCUGUGGCAUCUCCACCACUGACUGUCAGCAGUGCCUUCUGUCCAAAUUUACUUCUUUGUAUUUUUGGCAACUGCUCAUUUUUUUCUUAUUUAUAGCUGGGAUACAGUUGGAAUCCCUGUGAAUUUCUUCUGCAGAAAGAGGUAGACAAGAUUAUAUGUAAUGUGUAAGGUCAUUCAUGAGAUUAUCCUUCCUGAGUGCACAGACCUAAACUGUGUUGACUAAUAAGAGAAAUAAUGACUUUGAAGUAGGACCAGAGAAAACGAUGCAGAGAGGGCUGGUUUCCCUCUUCCUGGGUUGAUGCAGUCUUGUGUUCCUAAGGCUGAAAGCCAGGGCUCCCAGGGAUCUGAAGCUUUAAAUGCUGGUCUCAGGGAGAGGAGAAAAGGAAGUAGUCCAAGGAAUGCUGGCAAAAGCUGCCAGGAAUGCAGCAGGGAAGGCCCAUGAGCAGGAGUGCCUGUCUCUCCUAGCCAGAGAUCUGGAUUAGCUGCACUGAGGGGACUUUCCAGUCAUUGCUUGUGAGCCUUGCAGAGCUAAGGGAAAACAUGAAUGUUGUAAUACUCAUUAUACUGCUGCUUUGUGCUGCAGGGUUGACACAGCUAUUAAUUCAGUACUUUGAAUUCUGGAAGCCAAAGCACUUGUUUCAGAUCUCAAAAAGGUUAGCAUUUACAAAAUGCCACAUCCUUAUUUAAUCAAAGCUUCACAAGGAGACUCUGGAAGAAUAGAACUGUUCAGCUUGGCACACACAUCAAAAUUUUACAUAGCAAGUGAGGCAGGCACUCUUGACCAAAUGGAAACCAACCUCUGCUGGCACGUGAAAGCCUUGCAUUAUAAAACUCGGGUUCAUCAUAGAGAUGUUCUGUUCUCAUCUUUUAUAGGAAGAAUGUAACAGAUGAGGUUUUCUGAUACUCUGCUAGUCUGACAUCUGCAAGGGUCACUCUGCAUCUGCAAACCAAUGGAUGGAACCUCAGCUGAAGCCAGUGAAACCUCCCUACCUUGUGUUAGCAGGGCAUGGAGACUUUACCAGUAUUAUUUCUUUUUCAGAUGCAGUCAGCUGGUGGGAGAUACCAAAGCCUGUAGUGGCUGCACUAAACACAAAGUCUUGUGAAAACUCUAAUGAUACAAGCCCUGUGCAUGAUCAUAACUGUAAUAAUCAUUACUAAUAACUUGCUUUUGGAUCCUGUUACUCAGCAGUCUGAAAGUGUUAACUGCUACCUAAAUAUAGAUGAAAAAGUGACUCUGAAAGACUUUGUGUCUUUGUUUCAAUCUGUCUUAUGAAAAUGAAAGCUGGAACGCUGCAUGAGAAAAAUCUUGAAGUCUUUCACGGAUAAAACCUUUAGAUAUGA